rnacentral:lncRNA from 1 species
AAAUCAUCAUAACAACAAUAAAUCAAGCAUCUAAAGUAUGGUCAAACCUUAUAAAAAAAAACAACACUUUGAAAAUUCUGGGCUGCCCAGAAUUUUCCGGUCAAUGCCGGUCAACCCACUUUGACCUUAAAUAACUCUUAAUCCAUAAUAUAUAUGGACCUGAUUCUUUUUGGAGAUUAAAUAACAUAUAACAAGAUACACAUAACAAGCUUUAGAACACAAAACACAUUAA